AUGACUUUGAUCUGCGUCCUCAUCUGGACUCUCCUCUGCUGCUGCUUCACAGAGUCCAGAGGUCAGGUCACAGUGACUCAGCCUGCAGCAGUGAGAGCUGAUCUGGGAGGAUCUGUCAGCAUCAGGUGUAGAACCAGUCAGAAUGUUCAUGUUUACAACAGCAACCAGAUUUUGGCCUGGUACCAACAGAAAGAAGGACAAUCUCCCAAGCGCCUCAUUUAUUAUGCUAGCACUAGAGACUCCUGGACUCCAAGUCAUUUUACAGGCAGUGGAUCAAACUCUGACUUCACUCUGACCAUCAGUGGAGUUCAGGCUGAAGAUGCUGCAGUUUAUUACUGUCAGAGUCUUCAUUACAUCAACAGUCAGUGGGUGUUCACACAGUGA